UAUUCUGGUUUCUCUUCAGAUCGUAUAAAUCUUUCGCCUUUUACUAAAGAUUUCCGUGGAGAGGAAAAAAAAAAAGAACUUUGUUUAAUCCCAGUAACCUGUUUUUCCAGUAGUA
ensembl:snRNA U5 U5 spliceosomal RNA